rnacentral:rRNA from 1 species
AUGCAACUACUGUUGCAAACUGCAAUCAAACACGCCCUAAGAUGCAGCUACAGACCAACAGUUGUGCAGUUUAACAAAAAAAAGACUACUAGUCAUGGAGCCGGAAUCGUUAGCCCUUCAACACCGGAAUCUUGGACCAAGUACGUCCUCAUGCAUGUUUGUCAACAUGGAAAUCGCUGGAGGUUACAUGAGAUCGGAAGGUCGGCGCAGCAGUGGGUGAGAAGAGAACACAAGGUGGUCAGAUUUUGGCCGAAAAAGUCUUCAGUACGGUAUGUCACGGGUGGAACGAUAGGGCUUCGGACUCAACAUGUGGACGUAGUGUCAUGGUGCCUCUCGAGAGCCGGCUGA